rnacentral:rRNA from 1 species
GACGAACGCUGGCGGCGUGCUUAACACAUGCAAGUCGAACGGAAAGGCCCUGCUUGCAGGGUACUCGAGUGGCGAACGGGUGAGUAACACGUGGGUGAUCUGCCCUGCACUUCGGGAUAAGCCUGGGAAACUGGGUCUAAUACCGGAUAGGAGCCAUUUUUAGUGUGAUGGUUGGAAAGUUUUUUCGGUGUAGGAUGAGCUCGCGGCCUAUCAGCUUGUUGGUGGGGUAAUGGCCUACCAAGGCGGCGACGGGUAGCCGGCCUGAGAGGGUGGACGGCCACAUUGGGACUGAGAUACGGCCCAGACUCCUACGGGAGGCAGCAGUGGGGAAUAUUGCACAAUGGGCGCAAGCCUGAUGCAGCGACGCCGCGGGGGGGAUGACGGCCUUCGGGUUGUAAACUCCUUUCGCUAGGGACGAAGCUUUUUGUGACGGUACCUAGAUAAGAAGCACCGGCUAACUACGUA